UACGUAGGGGGCUAGCGUUGUCCGGAUUUAUUGGGCGUAAAGAGCGUGUAGGCGGCCAGGUAGGUCUGGUGUGAAAACUCGAGGCUUAACCUCGAGAUGUCAUCGGAAACCAUCUGGCUAGAGUCCGGAAGAGGAGAGUGGAAUUCCUGGUGUAGCGGUGAAAUGCGCAGAUAUCGGGAAGAACACCCGUGGCGAAGGCGGCUCACUGGCCCGAUACUGACGCUGAGGUGCGAAAGCGUGGGGAGCAAACAGG
rnacentral:rRNA from 1 species